UGGAGCAUGUGGUUUAAUUCGAUGAUACGCGAGGAACCUUACCUGGGCUCAAAUGUAUGUUGACGUAUUCUGAAAGGGAUACUUCUUCGGACAAUAUACAAGGUGCUGCAUGGUUGUCGUCAGCUCGUGCCGUGAGGUGUCGGGUUAAGUCCCAUAACGAGCGCAACCCUAUCAUUAGUUGCCAUCAGGUCAAGCUGGGGACUCUAAUGAAACUGCCUACGCAAGUAGUGAGGAAGGUGGGGAUGACGUCAAGUCAUCAUGGCCCUUACGGCCUGGGCUACACACGUGCUACAAUGGUCGAUACAAAGGGUUGCCAAGCCGCGAGGUGGAGCUAAUCCCAUAAAACCGAUCGUAGUCCGGAUCGCAGUCUGCAACUCGACUGCGUGAAGUCGGAAUCGCUAGUAAUCGUGAAUCAGAAUGUCACGGUGAAUACGUUCCCGGGCCUU
rnacentral:rRNA from 1 species